UACGUAGGGGGCAAGCGUUGUCCGGAUUUAUUGGGCGUAAAAGGCUUGUAGGUGGCCACGCCAAGUCGGAUGUGAAAUCUCCCGGCUCAACUGGGAGGGGUCAUUCGAUACUGGCGGGCUCGAGGCCGGUAGGGGGAAGUGGAAUUCCCGGUGUAGUGGUGGAAUGCGUAGAUAUCUGGAGGAACACCGGUGGCGAAGGCGGCAUCCUGGACCGAUACUGACGCUGAGGAGCGAAAGCCAGGGGAGCAAACGGG
rnacentral:rRNA from 1 species